AGUUGCUCAUUCAACUUUUUAUGUCGGCCCACAAUCGGGUGGAAACAUGCCACAUAAGCCUGGAAUGAUGCCGAAGUAAGGUGCCUACCGUCCAACUCAAUGAUAUUCGCCUUCGGGCCUUAUCAAACACAGGGCGACACGUGGAGUGAGGCACCACCUA
rnacentral:sRNA from 1 species